rnacentral:tRNA from 6 species
GGCUCGGUAGCUCAGUCGGUAGAGCAGGGGAUUGAAAAUCCCCGUGUCGGCGGUUCGAUUCCGUCCCGAGCCA